rnacentral:lncRNA from 1 species
GGAAGGAGAAAGGGCGGAGCUGCGGUGUUGCCGUGGACUGGCUCAUACCACGAGUGACCACCCCCACACACACACUCUUAAUUAACACAGCCCUGUUAAUUCCCACCAUGCCAAGCCCUCACCAACACCCACCUUGGGCCACCUCCUUUACCCCCCCCCUUAAUUAACCAAGGCUCAUUAAGGACCCCCCCCCCAAUUAACCAGGCCCCAUUAAGGUCCACCAUGCACCUCACCCCAUGCCAGACCAUGAGCCCCCUCCUUAAUUAACCAGGCCCCAUUAAGACCCCC